rnacentral:rRNA from 1 species
UCCAAAUUCUCAAUGAUGGAUAUCUUGGUUCCCAUAACGAUGAAGAACGCAGCGAAGUGCGAUAAGCAAUGCGAAUUGCARAACCGUGAGUCAUCAGAUUUUUGAACGCAACUGGCGCCGAUUGGCUCUCCAGUCGGCAUGCUUGUUUCAGUG